rnacentral:rRNA from 1 species
CCUACGGGUGGCAGCAGUGGGGAAUAUUGGGCAAUGGGCGCAAGCCUGACCCAGCAACGCCGCGUGAAGGAAGAAGGCUUUCGGGUUGUAAACUUCUUUUCUCAGGGACGAAGCAAGUGACGGUUCCUGAGUCAUAAGCCACGGCUAACUACGUGCCAGCAGCCGCGGUAAUACGUAGGUGGCAAGCGUUAUCCGGAUUUACUGGGUGUAAAGGGCGGGUAGGCGGGGACGCAAGUCAGAUGUGAAAACCACGGGCUCAACCUGUGGCCUGCAUUUGAAACUGUGUGUCUUGAGUACUGGAGAGGCAGACGGAAUUCCAAGUGUAGCGGUGAAAUGCGUAGAUAUUAGGAGGAACACCAGUGGCGAAGGCGGUCUGCUGGACAGCAACUGACGCUGAGGCGCGAAAGCGUGGGGAGCAAACAGGAUUAGAUACCCCGGUAGUC